CCCCGCUUUUCUUCGUUUUUCUUUUCCUUCCUUUUAUUUUCAUUCCUGCUUCUCUUUAUUUAUUUAUUUAUUUUGCAUUCCCCCAUUUUGUUUUAAUUCCCUCUACCUUUUUCCCAAAGCUCUGAACAAUUCCAUCCCAAAUCCCAAAUCGAAUCUCUGUCCACUGAAAUCCCUCCUCUGCCCAGAAAAUCACCUCCACCACCGUUCACUUGCAUCGCCCCCUGUUGACUCACUUUUUCCACUGCCAACGCCAUUCCUUUAUCCUCGAUCGUAAACACAAGCAAAUCUCAAGUAGUCUUCAUCAACUCCUAAUUUUGGUUUCUACUGGUGUAUAAGUGGCUUCUAAACAUAGCUUCUUUCUAGCCAUGAUGAAGAUCGUCGGGACCUUGGGCCCGAAAUCGCGAGCUGUUGAAAUCAUUUUGAGCUGCCUUCAAGUUGGUAUGUCAGUUGCACGAUUUGAUUUUUCAUAGGGUGACAUUGAAUUUCAUGAAGAGACAUUGGAAAAUCUUAAAAUGGCUAUUAAGAGCUCGAAAAAAACUACGUGUUGUAAGUUUUCUUCCUACACCAAAAGAAUGAAAAACUAUCCCUGUGAAUUUCACUCACUUGUGAAGUUGAUAAUUCCUUAUAUACAAGGUUUUUCAUUUCAUAAUAUGAUGGUAAUAUAUAAUUAUAUAUAAGUUCUCUGGAAGCAAAAACCUUGGUCAUCCUUACACCCGAUCAAGAAAAAGAAGCCACUUCCAAUCUUUUACCAAUAAACUUUAGUAUCAAAUACUUAUGUAUUUUAGGAAAUCAUUGUUAAAUAAACCUAUAUAUUGAUGUUCCAAACACUCAUAGUAUAUGCCUCUUUGGUAAUUUAUUACGAAUUUCAUCUUAACCUACCCCAACUAGAUUGCUAAAAGAUUUCUUGUCAUUAGUUUGUUACUUCUUACAAACUGCAUUAUUAUGCCUAAUUCAAGUCUUCUUUGUUUUCAUGCUUUGUGAUACUUCAAACUACGAUUCCCAUAUGAAGGUACAUAUUCAUUUCUCCUAUUGAAUGUAAAUUUAGUUUCUCUGAAUCAUACAUUAUAAUUAAUUGAUGAUGCCCUCUUUUUAGACUCAAUCAUGGAUCCUAGAAUCCAUGACAUAUACAAACCAUCAUACUGGACAAUCUUUGGUUGUCACAAUAGUAAUCAUUAAGCCAAAUUACAUGCUUAAAGUAUGUAUCUUGCUUCAAGGAUUGGGCUAUUUAAACAAGCAAGAUGUCAAGAAGAUAAUCAUAAUAUUAGUAAUUUGAUAUCAUGUUCAUUUUCCGAUAUUGCCCCUCCAUGUUAUGGGUGUUUUUCUAUACUCUAGAGAGGUAGACAUACUUGUAACUUUUCAUAUACUUGUGUCCUUGGUUCUUCAAGACCACAUUAAGGAUAAAGUUUACUUUUUUAUGAUUUGCAAUUUCUUUAAGCACUUUAAAGUGUUAAUUCUUUUAUUCUUGCAGAUAGGACUUCUGUUUCAGAAGGACAGUGUGAUUAAAAAUAGUGAUGGUCACAUAUAUUAUUUACAAGCAAUUAGAUGGGAUAUGAAACAAAUAGAUUUACUCUUACAUCACUACUAGAGGAAGGACGGAAAUGGGACAUCCGGUGGAAGGUAUGCGAUCUCUUCAGUGAAUCAAUAUAAACAAUCACAAUUCAGGUCAGUGCUUUCCAUUAAUUGGAAAUUUUGGAUAUCUACAAAAAACUUCAGGUCAGUGCAUCACAUUUUACAUGCUUCGAAGACUUGUAGUCUGCUUCUUUACACAACUUUAUUUUUUUUAUUUCACUUCCAAGUUCUCGUAUGCUAAAUCAUUUAUGUUCCGGGUUUAGGCUUAGGUGGAACACAGUCAAAUCCUUCCUUGAUCUAAAGACUACUACCAAGAUUCAUGGGAAUGUGCUCAUUGCUGUUCUUUCAAAUUACAUGGUUGACAUUGAUUAGAUGGUGCUUCAUCUUUAGGACCUUUUUGUUCAGGUGGAACUUUUGAUGAUGAGUAUGAGGACAUUUCUGUCUUUUUCACUUUUCCAGAUAGGACAAAAAUUGCAAAUUUUGUCUGAUUGACAUCAAUCCAAUGCACACCAAAUAGGAGUUCUUGUGGUACAUGUCUUGAUAAAGGUAGUUACAGGCAACCAGAGAAGGGCACAUGGAAAGACCUAGAGACCAAGGAAAAGUAAGUGGAGUUUGGUUCGCCUAAUUCCAUGGGAUUAAACGUGAAUUGGAAUCCAAUUCCAUUAUGAUCCUUAAUCGGACGCAAGUUAUCAAGCAAUGUUAAACUUUGAUAUUAAGUGUUUUUGGUAAACUUUUGAUAGUUGAUUUUUUGGUAUUUUAAUUUUAAUGUUUGGUUUUAGAUUGUAAAAUUAUUGGAUGCUUUUGGUAUUUAAAUGUUAAUGUUUGGUUUGUGAUUGUAUAAUUAUUUGAUGUUUGUGGU